AUGCAGAACUUUGUGAACACCUUGACAGGUAAGACCAUUACCCUUGAGGUCAAGCCCAGUGACACCAUUGAGAAUGUCAAGGCAAAGAUUCAAGACAAGGAUGGCCUUCUCCCUGACCAGCAGAGGUUGAUCUUUGCCAGAAACAACUGGAAGAUGAGCACACCAUCUGACUAUGACAUCCCCAAAGGUCCACUUGGCACUUGUUUCUGUACUUGAGGGGAGGUGUCUAAGUU
rnacentral:lncRNA from 1 species